rnacentral:tRNA from 1 species
GACCUGGCUCAGUUGAUUGAGCAUCUGACUUCAGCUCAGGUCAUGAUCUCAUGGUUCAUGGGUUCAAACCCCAUGUCG